rnacentral:miRNA from 1 species
AAUACAAGAUGCCCAAUUAAAAUUAAAUUUUAGAUAACCAACAAAUAAUUUUUAGUAUAACUAUGUCCCAUGCAAUACUUGGGACAUACUUAUACUACAAUAUUAUUUAUUAUUUAUCUGUAAUUUAAGUUUACUUGGAUGUUCUGUAUUUU